UACGUAGGGGGCGAGCGUUGUCCGGAAUCAUUGGGCGUAAAGCGCGUGUAGGCGGCCCGGUAAGUCCGCUGUGAAAGUCCAGGGCUCAACCCUGGGAUGCCGGUGGAUACUGUCGGGCUCGAGUCCGGAAGAGGCGAGUGGAAUUCCUGGUGUAGCGGUGAAAUGCGCAGAUAUCAGGAGGAACACCAAUGGCGAAGGCAGCUCGCUGGGACGGUAACUGACACUGAGACGCGAAAGCGUGGGGAGCAAACAGG
rnacentral:rRNA from 1 species